UACGGAGGGUGCAAGCGUUAAUCGGAAUUACUGGGCGUAAAGGGUGCGUAGGCGGUUGUUUAGUCUGUUGUGAAAUCCCCGGGCUCAACCUGGGAAUGGCAAUGGAUACUGGACAGCUAGAGUGUGUCAGAGGAUGGUGGAAUUCCGGUGUAGCGGUGAAAUGCGUAGAGAUCGGAAAGAACACCAACGGCGAAAGCACUCUGCUGGGCCGACACUGACACUGAGAGACGAAAGCUAGGGGAGCGAAUGGG
rnacentral:rRNA from 1 species